GACGAACGCUGGCGGCGUGCCUAAUACAUGCAAGUCGAACGCUUCUUUCCUCCUUAGUGCUUGCACUCAAUUGGAAAGAGGAGUGGCGGACGGGUGAGUAACACGUUGGUAACCUACCAAUCAGAGGGGGAUAACACUUGGAAACAGGUGCUAAUACCGCAUAACAGUUUAUGCCGCAUGGCAUAAGAGUGAAAGGCGCUGUCGGGUGUCGUUGAUGGAUGGUCGCGCGGUGCAUUAGCUAGUUGGUGAGGUAACGGCUUACCGAGGCCACGAUGCAUAGCCGACGUGAGAGGGUGAUAGGCCACACUGGAACUGGGACACGGACCAGACUCCUACGGGAGGCAGCAGUAGGGAAUCUUCGGCAAUAGUCGAAAGUCUGACCGAGCAACGCCGCGUGAGUGAAGAAGGUUUUCGGAUCGUAAAGCUCUGUUGCUAGAGAAGAACAAGGACGUCAGUAACUGAACGUCCCCUGACGGUAUCUAACCAGGAAGCAACGGCUAACUACGUG
rnacentral:rRNA from 1 species